rnacentral:rRNA from 1 species
AACAAGGUUUCCGUAGGUGAACCUGCGGAAGGAUCAUUACCGAGUUCUCGGGCUUCGGCUCGAAUCUCCCACCCUUUGUGAACAUACCUCUGUUGCUUUGGCGGCUCUUUGCCGCGAGGAGGCCCUCGCGGGCCCCCCCGCGCGCUUUCCGCCAGAGGACCUUCAAACUCCAGUCAGUAAACGUCGACGUCUGAUAAACAAGUUAAUAAACUAAAACUUUCAACAACGGAUCUCUUGGUUCUGGCAUCGAUGAAGAACGCAGCGAAAUGCGAUAAGUAAUGUGAAUUGCAGAAUUCAGUGAAUCAUCGAAUCUUUGAACGCACAUUGCGCCCCCUGGCAUUCCGGGGGGCAUGCCUGUUCGAGCGUCAUUACAACCCUCAAGCUCUGCUUGGUAUUGGGCGCCGUCCUCUCUGCGGACGCGCCUUAAAGACCUCGGCGGUGGCUGUUCAGCCCUCAAGCGUAGUAGAAUACACCUCGCUUUGGAGCGGUUGGCGUCGCCCGCCGGACGAACCUUCUGAACUUUUCUCAAGGUUGACCUCGGAUCAGGUAGGGAUACCCGCUGAACUUAAGCAU